rnacentral:lncRNA from 1 species
CACUGAAGUAACAUCAGAGGGAAGCGAUCUGCAAUUGACUACUUCUCUGACCUCAUCUGUAAAAGCAACGGUGAUCCCAAAGGCUCGUUCUCAAAACGGUGGAGAAAAGAAAAAUUAUAAAGUCUUUACUGGAUCUGCCCCUGGUAAACUGUAACUGGCCCUGGGUGACUGCUCCUGGGUGAGAUGGCCCAGCAUCUGAUCUCCGUUCUAGCGAGAGCGCUGAGGGCUCCACAGCUCCUGGACUGAGAAGUGCAUGUUGUUAGUAACACCUGUACACUCUUUCUAGAUGUUUUGCAUAAUGCCACGUUUUUACAAUGGAAGUCAUCCAGGGUGCUCUAAAAAGUCUGGCUAAGUAAAAGUCUUGUUUUCUUUCCAUA